CGCGUAGGCGGUUUGGUCAGUCAGAUGUGAAAGCCCCGGGCUUAACCUGGGAACUGCAUCUGAUACUGCCAGGCUAGAGUAUGGUAGAGGGGGGUAGAAUUCCAGGUGUAGCGGUGAGAUGCGUAGAUAUCUGGAGGAAUACCAGUGGCGAAGGCGGCCCCCUGGACCAAUACUGACGCUGAGGUGCGAAAGCGGUGGGGAGCAAACA
rnacentral:rRNA from 1 species